CCUACGGGAUGCAGCAGUGAGGAAUAUUGGUCAAUGGGCGGGAGCCUGAACCAGCCAAGUCGCGUGAGGGAAGACGGUCCUAUGGAUUGUAAACCUCUUUAGGCGGGGAGCAAUGCCGGGCACGCGUGCCCGGAGGGAGAGUACCCGCAGAAUAAGCAUCGGCUAACUCCGUGCCAGCAGCCGCGGUAAUACGGAGGAUGCGAGCGUUAUCCGGAUUAAUUGGGUUUAAAGGGUGCGUAGGCGGAUUUUUAAGUCAGCGGUAAAAUGUCCGGGCUCAACCCCGGCCGGCCGUUGAAACUGGUUUUCUAGAGUUGGAGAGAAGUAUGCGGAAUGCGUGGUGUAGCGGUGAAAUGCAUAGAUAUCACGAAGAACUCCGAUUGCGAAGGCAGCAUACCGGCUCCAUACUGACGCUGAGGCACGAAAGCGUGGGGAUCGAACAGGAUUAGAUACCCGGGUAGUC
rnacentral:rRNA from 1 species